rnacentral:rRNA from 1 species
AACGGCCGUACCAUGCUGAAUAUACCGGUUCUCGUUGGAUCACCGAAGUCAAGCAUCAUUGGGCUCGGUCAGUACUUGGGUGGGUGACCACCUGGGAACACUGCUUGCCGU